AGAGUUUGAUCCUGGCUCGCGCGAACAUUGGCGGCGCGCCUAACACAUGCAAGUCGAACGGGCAGCAGCCGCAAGGUUGCUGUCAGUGGCGCACGGGUGAGUAACGCGUGAGUAACCUGCCCCAAGGUGGGGAAUAACCUAUCGAAAGAUGGGCUAAUACCGCAUAAUGCCCAUAAGCCCUCGGGCUUGUGGGCCAAAGGCCGAAAGGCCGCCUUGGGAGGGGCUUGCGUCGGAUUAGCUAGUUGGUAGGGUAAUGGCCUACCAAGGCGAUGAUCCGUAGCUGGCCUGAGAGGGUGGUCAGCCACACUGGAACUGAGACACGGUCCAGACUCCUACGGGAGGCAGCAGUGGGGAAUCUUGCGCAAUGGGGGAAACCCUGACGCAGCGACGCCGCGUGGGUGAAGAAGGACUUCGGUCUGUAAAGCCCUGUUGCAGGGGAGCAACCCUGAGAGUACCCUGCGAGAAAGGGUCGGCUAACUUCGUGCCAGCAGCCGCGGUAAGACGGGGGACCCAAGCGUUGCUCGGAAUCACUGGGCGUAAAGCGGGUGUAGGCGGCUUCGUAAGUUAAGUGUGAAAGCCUUGGGCUCAACCCAAGAAACGCACUUAAUACUGCGAAGCUUGA
rnacentral:rRNA from 1 species